rnacentral:rRNA from 1 species
AUGCCGAUGGGGUCCAACGAGGCGGACAAGCCGCUACGGCGGAUCGACGCGUCGUUCGAGCAGCUCGCGGCCAUCGCCAAGCAGCAGCAGGAGCCCGUGAUGGCGGCGGGGGACUUCUCACGCGCCUGCUCCAACGUCUCCGUCCUCUUCUGCUGCCUCGGCAUCGCCUUCAAGUUUGUGGAGAUGGACUACGUAGCCAAGGCAAGCGGCCGCUCCUUCGCCCCCUCUCCUCCCCCGCUACCUGCUCUGCUGUUCGAGAAGCUGCAACCUGCAGAACGCAAGAAAGGGCUGAUGUGUGUUGCAUCCUCGCCAUUUCUGGACAUCAAGGCGCCGCCGGAUUCGAGGGUGGAGCCUGAGCCUCCACUGGAGCAUGGAUCAGCCGUGCAGGAGGUGGAGCUCCGCAUGGAUCACGACUUGGUCGUCAUGGGGGCCUGGACCGUCAAGCUCGCGGGCGAGAUGGACGGCCUCGGCAAUAGAGACGCGCGUGAGAUCCUGGGGUUGACCAAUCCAUGGGGCACCAGAUCUUCUCUCGGGGUCGCCUGCUGUAGUCAUACUGUCGCUGGAUCUCCUCCCCCUCUCUCUCUAUGUUUUUCUGCCAAUAGCUAG